rnacentral:ncRNA from 1 species
AAACCGGCGAUGAAAAGGAAGAGUAGGGCUUAUAAACCUGGCCUUGCAGAGAGAAGGCGCCCGAGGCUGAAAGCGCCUUUAAGGCAGGCGGCCUGAAGACCGCCUUGGAGCUGCCGGCUGAAAACGAAAAGUAAGCCGCGCCGGGGGCAACCGUUAACUGCCGCGAGAGAGGAAGGGCAGCUUGACCUUCCUAAACAGGGUGGAACCGCGGGCAUUCCCCGUCCCUGAU